CAGGAAAAACAAACAACAGCUCAGACCUGAAGCAGGACAAGCCCCCAGAGAACAGGUGAAAGAAGAAGAAGAUGUUCUCUAUGUUUCUGUCCACUUUGUAAAGAAACAGGAAGAGCCACUUUACUCCAACGUCACAUCAGCUCAGUCCAGGAGCUACAUGAUGGAAAACAGGCAGUUAAAACAGAUGGAGUAUACCACUGUUAACUGUUUAACAACCCCAGCUGUUACAAGAACUGAGCCGAACAAGCAAGACGUUGAAGAGGAUCCAGAUGCUUUGUACAGCAGAGUCAACAAAGCAAGAAAGAAAGAUGACUCAAAAGACCAACAACUGCUUCAUCACUGAUGGGAUCCACACUUACAAGCAGA